ensembl:lncRNA
CAGAAUCAUACAGAAUGGCUUGGGUUGAAAGGAACCUCAAAGAUCACCUAGUUCCAAAUCCCCUGCUGCACCCCCCAUAUCCAGUUGACCAGGGCUCCAUCCAGUGUGGCCUUAAACAUCUCCAGGGAUGGGGCAUCCACAACUCUCUGGGCAGCCUGUUCCAGCACCUCACCACCCUCCCUGUGAAAAAGUUCCCCCAGCAUCUAAUCUAAAUCUUCCCAGCUUUGGUUUAAAACCAUUUCCUUUUCUCCUAUCACUCUCUACCUAUUUAAAAAGUUUAUUUCACUCCUAUUUAUAAGCUGCCUUAAAUACUGGAAGGCCAUAAUGAGGUCUCCCUGGAGCCUUUUCUUUUCCAGGCUGAACAAGCCCAGUUCCCUCAACCUAUCUUCAUAGGAGAGGUUCUCCAGCCUUCUGUUAAUAUUAGUGGCACUCCUCUUGACCAUCUUCAACAGCUCCGCACCUUUCUUGUGCUGGGAGCCCCAGACCUGAACACAAUAUUCCAAAUGGGACCUCACAAUGGCAGAGGACAAGGGGACAGUCACCUCCCUCUCCCUGCUAGCCACCACUCUUUUGGUGCAGAUGUUGUUGGCCUUCCAGGCCACAAGCACAUACUGCCAUCUCACGUUAUGUUUUUCAUCUACCAGAACCCCUCCAAGUCCUUUUCCAUAUGUAUACAUAUCUGGGAUUUUCUCAAUCCAAGUGCAGCACCUUGCACUUGGUCUUGUUGAACAUCACUUGGCUCACAUGGGCCCACCUUUCAGGUUUGUCCAGAUCUCUUUGGUUGGCAUCCUUUCUUCUGUCCUAUCAAUUAUGCCACUCAACUCAGUGUCAUCAUGGUGACUGAUGAUGCACUCAAUCCCAUCAUCUAUGUAAUUGAUGAAGGUGUUAAAGAAUACUUGUCCCAAGAUGGACCCAGGGGGGAUACUACUUGUCACUGGCCUUUAUCUGGACAUAGAGCCAUUGACCACAUCCCUCUGACUGCAACCUUCCAACCAUUUUCUUAUCCACCAAAUAUUCCACCCUUCAAACCCAUAUCCCUCUGAUUUAGAGAUAAGGAUGUGGCAUGGGACCGUGUCAAAAAUCCAUCUCAUAGCUUGCAGAAUUUGGAAGGCCGUGUCUUUCUAGAGCUGUCCAUCAUCCAGACUAACCUCUUAUUACAGAGAUGUGUGAAUCUAUAUAAGAAGUUUAAGAUAAAUAUUAAUGUGAUAAAUUCUUUGUUCUUCAUUGAGUAUGUGGCUAACUUAGUCUUUAUUUUCAGAACUUUGGAGCUCUUAGGGAAGUACUGUACAUUUUGAAUGGUGCUCAAGGGUCUGAAUGUGUUCAGCAUCAUUUGAAAUAAAUUAGUGGGAUCUGGAACACUGAGCUUCAGAAUGGGAGUCUCCCAAAGCCCUGAAUUAUGAAUUAUGAACCCAGCAUUAGCACCCCCUCCAGCAUUUGUCAGCUCUUAGACUCGCAGCGAUCUUCCAGCCUAUCAGACCUUAUGGAUCCCAGAAGGUGAACCCAUAAUCAAGUCUUUACUGGGGGCUUCUUGGCAAGGCUAUCUCCAGCCACUGUUCCUGGCCUCAUAUAAGGUGUUCUAGAAAGGGGUUCCUCCAGCCGUUCAUCAGGACAAGGAACCAAGUGCUCCAGGGGCCUGACAGAAAUCUGAGUUUCCUACUACAAUUGUAAUUUUCCAAAUAAAAGCCAGAAUCGCCUGAAAAGUUAAGCUGUCACCUGCUAUUUCUGUCAAGAAACAGUCUGGUGAAUUUUCCACUGACUGGAAAAGGGGAAACAUAACUCCCAUUUUCAAGAAGGGAAAAAAGGAAGAUCCAGAGAACUAUAGGCUGGACAGUCUCAGCUCUGUGCCUGGCAAGAUCACGGAGCAAAUCCUCCUGAACGCCCUACUAAGGCGCAGGGAAAA